CGACGGGAGCUUGCUCCCUUAGGUCAGCGGCGGACGGGUGAGUAACACGUGGGUAACCUGCCUGUAAGACUGGGAUAACUCCGGGAAACCGGGGCUAAUACCGGAUGCUUGAUUGAACCGCAUGGUUCAAUCAUAAAAGGUGGCUUUUAGCUACCACUUACAGAUGGACCCGCGGCGCAUUAGCUAGUUGGUGAGGUAACGGCUCACCAAGGCGACGAUGCGUAACCGACCUGAGAGGGUGAUCGGCCACACUGGGACUGAAACACGGCCCAGACUCCUACGGGAGGCAGCAGUAGGGAAUCUUCCGCAAUGGACGAAAGUCUGACGGAGCAACGCCGCGUGAGUGAUGAAGGUUUUCGGAUCGUAAAACUCUGUUGUUAGGGAAGAACAAGUACCGUUCGAAUAGGGCGGUACCUUGACGGUACCUAACCAGAAAGCCACGGCUAACUACGUGCCAGCAGCCGCGGUAAUACGUAGGUGGCAAGCGUUGUCCGGAAUUAUUGGGCGUAAAGCGCGCGCAGGCGGUUUCUUAAGUCUGAUGUGAAAGCCCCCGGCUCAACCGGGGAGGGUCAUUGGAAACUGGGGAACUUGAGUGCAGAAGAGGAGAGUGGAAUUCCACGUGUAGCGGUGAAAUGCGUAGAGAUGUGGAGGAACACCAGUGGCGAAGGCGACUCUCUGGUCUGUAACUGACGCUGAGGCGCGAAAGCGUGGGGAGCGAACAGGAUUAGAUACCCUGGUAGUCCACGCCGUAAACGAUGAGUGCUAAGUGUUAGAGGGUUUCCGCCCUUUAGUGCUGCAGCAAACGCAUUAAGCACUCCGCCUGGGGAGUACGGUCGCAAGACUGAAACUCAAAGGAAUUGACGGGGGCCCGCACAAGCGGUGGAGCAUGUGGUUUAAUUCGAAGCAACGCGAAGAACCUUACCAGGUCUUGACAUCCUCUGACAACCCUAGAGAUAGGGCUUCCCCUUCGGGGGCAGAGUGACAGGUGGUGCAUGGUUGUCGUCAGCUCGUGUCGUGAGAUGUUGGGUUAAGUCCCGCAACGAGCGCAACCCUUGAUCUUAGUUGCCAGCAUUCAGUUGGGCACUCUAAGGUGACUGCCGGUGACAAACCGGAGGAAGGUGGGGAUGACGUCAAAUCAUCAUGCCCCUUAUGACCUGGGCUACACACGUGCUACAAUGGGCAGAACAAAGGGCAGCGAAGCCGCGAGGCUAAGCCAAUCCCACAAAUCUGUUCUCAGUUCGGAUCGCAGUCUGCAACUCGACUGCGUGAAGCUGGAAUCGCUAGUAAUCGCGGAUCAGCAUGCCGCGGUGAAUACGUUCCCGGGCCUUGUACACACCGCCCGUCACACCACGAGAGUUUGUAACACCCGAAGUCGGUGAGGUAACCU
rnacentral:rRNA from 1 species